GGUUGAUCCUGCCAGUAGUCAUAUGCUUGUCUCAAAGAUUAAGCCAUGCAUGUCUAAGUAUAAACAUCUUUAUACGUGAAACUGCGGACGGCUCAUUAAAUCAGUAAUUAUUUAUUUGAUGGUUCCUUACUACAUGGAUAUCUGUAGUAAUUCUAGAGCUAAUACAUGCGUAAAGUCCUUGUCCCUUGUGGAGAGGAUGUAUUUAUUAGAUAAAAAACUAACCUGGGUUCUGCUCAGUUUGUUGGUGACUCAUAGUAACUGUUCGAAUCGCAUGGCCUUGUGCUGGCGAUAGU
rnacentral:rRNA from 1 species